UACAAAAUGGUGUAGGAUAUCUUGGGGUU
rnacentral:piRNA from 1 species